UACGUAGGGGGCUAGCGUUGUCCGGAUUUAUUGGGCGUAAAGAGCGUGUAGGCGGCCAUGUAGGUCCGGUGUGAAAACUCGAGGCUUAACCUCGAGAUGUCAUCGGAAACCAUUUGGCUAGAGUCCGGAAGAGGAGAGUGGAAUUCCUGGUGUAGCGGUGAAAUGCGUAGAGAUCAGGAAGAACACCGGUGGCGAAAGCGUUCUGCUAGACCUGUACUGACACUGAGGGACGAAAGCUAGGGGAGCGAAUGGG
rnacentral:rRNA from 1 species